UGCCAGCAGCCGCGGUAAUACGGAGGGGGUUAUCGUUGUUCGGAAUUACUGGGCGUAAAGCGAGCGUAGGCGGUUAGUCAAGUUGGUGGUGAAAGCCCAGAGCUCAACUCUGGAACUGCCAUCAAAGCUGACUUACUAGAGAUUGGUAGAGGGAAAUGGAAUUCCUAGUGUAGAGGUGAAAUUCGUAGAUAUUGGGAAGAACAUCGGUGGCGAAGGCGAUUUCCUGGGCCAAUUCGGACGCGGAGGUUAGAAAGCGUGGGUCGCAAACAGGAGUAGAUA
rnacentral:rRNA from 1 species